UACGGAGGAUCCAAGCGUUAUCCGGAUUUAUUGGGUUUAAAGGGUGCGUAGGCGGCCUGUUAAGUCAGGGGUGAAAGACGGUAGCUUAACUAUCGCAGUGCCCUUGAUACUGAUGGGCUUGAAUGUACUUGAGGUAGGCGGAAUGUGACAAGUAGCGGUGAAAUGCAUAGAUAUGUCACAGAACACCAAUUGCGAAGGCAGCUUACUAAAGUAUGAUUGACGCUGAGGCCCGAAAGCGUGGGGAUCAAACAGG
rnacentral:rRNA from 1 species